GUCACACUGUAUUUCCAGGUCUGCUGUAUUUGGCCAGAGCUGAGUCCAGACACAGGAAGCUUGUCUCUGGAUUACAGAGUGGUGCUGAGCUUAAGCCUAUCCCUGGAGCUGCCUGUCAUGAUGGAAAGUGAUGCAGAGCUCCUGGGAGGCAUCUGCUUUCCUGCCAGAGCUCCCACUUACACCCCAAAACAGAGGUAAGCAAAACAUCUGCUUUUCUGAGCCUGUAAGACCCACGUUCAGGAUAAGCACUGGUCUGAUGGUUCAGUUUCAUUGUUUCAGAGGUGACAUUGGCAGUGGAGACUGGCCCCUUCAAUAACUUGAGGCAUCUUUUGAGUAUGUCCUUCCCCAGCCACCUCUGUUAGCUUAAUGGCAUCAAUUGUGCAUAUGAAUAAAUGAAUUCCAGAUGAGAGACCUGCAUGCCAGCAAGUAAGAGAUCUCACAGGCAUUCCUAUGUGGUUGCUGGCUGUUUACUCUCCUAAUACCUUUUGCUAGUAGAUGAGCUAUAAUAAUUGGGCUGCUUCUCUCCUCCUCCACAAAGCUACUGGCUUUGCACAAACUCGGUGUGCUCGUGCUGGCUUCAUCAGGGAAUCAGGUCAUGGAGCUGAAAGAUCCGUUCAGAUACCAGGGUAUGCUCAACUGCUGCUAUGCUCCAUCCUUCAGGUUGUUUAUUUAAAUAGAGAGGAGCCUUCUGAAGGGCAUGAGCUCAUUUUAACAGGGCUCCCAAAGGGGAUGUCAGGCAUUGGUGGGAUCUGCAGGGCUUGCAGGUCUAGGGUUUCACACUGCCCUAGGUCUCGAAUGCAGCUUAGAUCUGACAUCCAUCCAGAGCAGCUCACAGCCAGCCUGGAUAACAGCGGUUACAGAAACAAAGUGGUUACUGAAUGGAUGCACAGGUCAGUGCAAUGGCUGUUGUU